UCCCGACAACGCAAAGCGGAAAUCCUUCAAUGUACACGUAUGAUUGAAAGCGAAAGUUGAGUUCAGACUCGAUAUUUCGGUAUUAAGUGCGUAAUAUCGGCGAUAUCAUAAACGGUUUUAUCAUGGUGAUAUACCGGUUUCGGAUUUUUCCUACAUCGUAUCGUCCGUUUUGAGAUCCAAACCGGUGUUUUCGGUAAUAUCGAAUUAUCGCCCAACUCUAACCGGUAUACUUAGGCCAAGUUAGGCUACAUGCAGGUAUGCCCCGAUUAAAUAAUCUUAUCAUCCUAAUCCUUGCAGUAAUUUUUCCCAUCGUUUCCAGGUAUUCCCAAACUAAGGAUAGAACUUUCCAAGCACAAGAUGGGAAAUAUUGUCGUCUAUGUCCUCCAGGCUCCCAUUUGAAAGAAUCCUGUGUCACUUCGUAUGGAGACUCCAUGUGUGAAAGUUGUCCUGAUGGCCAUUUUAUCACGUAUUACAACAAUUCCUCGAAAUGUCCGGCCUGUACCCAUUGUCCAAUAGGUUACACUGAGAAGGAACCAUGCACACCUGAAAAAAAUAGGGUGUGUGUGUGUCCACCAGGCAUGUAUUUGACGUUUAGAUCAGGUACAGAGGGAUACUGUGUAGCACAUUCCGUGUGUAAAGAAGGAGAAACGCUGUUAAGAAAUGGUACAGCAACUACGGACACAGUGUGUCAGUCAAAAGAAGACCAUCCCAAGGGAGGUACAACAACUACGGACACUGUGCCUCAGUCAACAGAAGAACCACAUCCCACAGGAGGUGGAACAAGGAGGACCUGUUCUCUUUUUACCUUUACAUGUAUUUUCUUAACAUUAUGUUUAACAUAUAGAGGAUAGUGAAUAACAUAUUAGAUUACAUUUAUCAGUAGGCCUAUAUAUAAAUAAUAUGAUGGAAAAUGAUAUCACCCAACGAUAUCACCCUAGAUGGAAGUGGUCGUAAAACUCUAGAAACGAACGAACGAACGAGCUCACAUCAUUGCUCCUUGAAACUUGAUCUACUCACAGUCUAACCCCAUGUGCCUUUCGUAGUAUGGGGAUAAACCCAGAAUUCUCUGACUGCGUCAUCUCUAUUUUUUGUAUCAUGGGGAACGGUACAUGCAUCUCGAAUCUCGACCAUCAGACACCCUAGGCGACCAAAGAAUUAAAACUAGUAUUCAUGUUUCUGGUUGUAUAAAGUUAUCAUGUAUUUUACACAUUGUAGGUAUUAUUUUUGUUCAAACUUCCAAUUUUUAAUCCCAAUCCAGGGAUUACUUUUUCUUAAAUUUAUAUUAAGGCGCAUGCGCCAAUGUUUGUAUAUAAACCUAGGAUUAUUUUUUUGCAACCUAUUGUAUCAACCUCUAAGGGCGAACAGCCCGAAACAUGUUCUAGAUUAUAUUUUUAAAACUAC